rnacentral:rRNA from 1 species
AUGAACGCUGGCGGCGUGCUUAACACAUGCAAGUCGAACGAAGCACUUUAACCUGAUUCUUCGGAUGAAGGUUUUUGUGACUGAGUGGCGGACGGGUGAGUAACGCGUGGGUAACCUGCCUCAUACAGGGGGAUAACAGUUAGAAAUGACUGCUAAUACCGCAUAAGACCACGGAGCCGCAUGGCUCAGUGGGAAAAACUCCGGUGGUAUGAGAUGGACCCGCGUCUGAUUAGGUAGUUGGUGGGGUAACGGCCUACCAAGCCAACGAUCAGUAGCCGACCUGAGAGGGUGACCGGCCACAUUGGGACUGAGACACGGCCCAAACUCCUACGGGAGGCAGCAGUGGGGAAUAUUGCACAAUGGGGGAAACCCUGAUGCAGCGACGCCGCGUGAGCGAAGAAGUAUUUCGGUAUGUAAAGCUCUAUCAGCAGGGAAGAAAAUGACGGUACCUGACUAAGAAGCACCGGCUAAAUACGUGCCAGCAGCCGCGGUAAUACGUAUGGUGCAAGCGUUAUCCGGAUUUACUGGGUGUAAAGGGAGCGUAGACGGCUGUGUAAGUCUGAAGUGAAAGCCCGGGGCUCAACCCCGGGACUGCUUUGGAAACUAUGCAGCUAGAGUGUCGGAGAGGUAAGUGGAAUUCCCAGUGUAGCGGUGAAAUGCGUAGAUAUUGGGAGGAACACCAGUGGCGAAGGCGGCUUACUGGACGAUAACUGACGCUGAGGCUCGAAAGCGUGGGGAGCAAACAGGAUUAGAUACCCUGGUAGUCCACGCCGUAAACGAUGAGUGCUAAGUGUUAGGGGGUUUCCGCCCCUUAGUGCUGCAGCUAACGCAUUAAGCACUCCGCCUGGGGAGUACGACCGCAAGGUUGAAACUCAAAGGAAUUGACGGGGGCCCGCACAAGCGGUGGAGCAUGUGGUUUAAUUCGAAGCAACGCGAAGAACCUUACCUGCUCUUGACAUCCCGGUGACCGGCAUGUAAUGAUGCCUUUUCUUCGGAACACCGGUGACAGGUGGUGCAUGGUUGUCGUCAGCUCGUGUCGUGAGAUGUUGGGUUAAGUCCCGCAACGAGCGCAACCCUUAUCUUCAGUAGCCAGCAAUUCGGAUGGGCACUCUGGAGAGACUGCCAGGGAUAACCUGGAGGAAGGUGGGGAUGACGUCAAAUCAUCAUGCCCCUUAUGAGCAGGGCUACACACGUGCUACAAUGGCGUAAACAAAGGGAAGCGAGCCUGCGAGGGUAAGCAAAUCUCAAAAAUAACGUCUCAGUUCGGAUUGUAGUCUGCAACUCGACUACAUGAAGCUGGAAUCGCUAGUAAUCGCGAAUCAGCAUGUCGCGGUGAAUACGUUCCCGGGUCUUGUACACACCGCCCGUCACACCAUGGGAGUUGGUAACGCCCGAAGUCAGUGACCCAACCGUAAGGAGGGAGCUGCCGAAGGUGGGACCGAUAACUGGGGUG